rnacentral:rRNA from 1 species
GCAACGAGCGCAACCCUACUCAUCUGUUGCCAGCAUUUAAGGUGGGGACGUCAGAUGAGACUGCCGGUGACAAACCGGAGGAAGGUGGGGACGACGUCAAGUCAUCAUGGCCCUUAUGUCCUGGGCUACACACGUGCUACAAUGGCCGGUACAGAGUGAAGCGAAACCGCGAGGUGAAGCAAAACGCAGAAAGCCGGUCUCAGUACGGAUUGGAGUCUGAAACUCGACUUCAUGAAGUUGGAAUCGCUAGUAAUCGCGCAUCAGCAUGGCGCGGUGAAUACGUUCCCGGGCCUU